UCGGGAAUUUUGGGCAAUGGGCGAAAGCCUGACCCAGCAACGCCGCGUGAGUGAUGAAGGCCUUAGGGUUGUAAAGCUCUUUUACCAGGGAUGAUAAUGACAGUACCUGGAGAAUAAGCUCCGGCUAACUCCGUGCCAGCAGCCGCGGUAAUACGGAGGGAGCUAGCGUUGUUCGGAAUUACUGGGCGUAAAGCGUACGUAGGCGGUGACUCAAGUCAGGGGUGAAAGCCUGGAGCUCAACUCCAGAACUGCCUUUGAAACUAGGUCGCUAGAAUCACGGAGAGGUGAGUGGAAUUCCGAGUGUAGAGGUGAAAUUCGUAGAUAUUCGGAAGAACACCAGUGGCGAAGGCGGCUCACUGGACGUGUAUUGACGCUGAGGUACGAAAGCGUGGGGAGCAAACAGGAUUAGAUACCCAAGUAGUCCCUGAGCGGGCUGGCAAGGCGCAU
rnacentral:rRNA from 1 species